UUCAAGCUUCGUCAGGAGAAUGCUUCAUGUUGGCCAUGAAUAUGUAUGCUGAUCACGAGCUAGACGCUCUGUUCAUCCAAUGGCAAUGGAGGCUAUGAUGGCUCCUUUGGGACGACCCUGAGGUCAUUGCAUCCUUUAAAGUGAUAGUUUAAAAAUAUAAAAGCUAUUUGGUAGCCCGCUGUGCACAUGCUACCUAUAGCAAUGAUAAUACCUUGCAUUUGCAUUUAAGCUUAGAGAUGUGAAAUAGCUGAGGUGACAAAUUGAAGCAGUCAGUUUGGGAGGAAAUCCUUCCUACUAGGAGCUGAAUGAUUUCUCCAAAACUAAAGGAAGGCUGGGUUAGUUUUCCUUCCCAUGUAAAGAAGUCAAGCUGGGCAAAAUCAGACAGGUUGAGGGCAUGGUAAUAUCCCUCUUAUUGGCAUGGGAAGGUUGGUUGGGGGGUAGAAGGAGAGUUGCCACUUACACAGGUGCCGACUUUCCAAUGUACUCUCGGCUCUGCCCCAGGCUCCGCCCCCACUCCAACACUUUCCCCAAGGGCCCACCUCUACCCCACCUCUUCCUGCUCCAUUCCACCCCCUCCCCAAGUGCACCCUGUCCUCGCUCCUCCUCCUCAGACCCUCCUCUGCAUACCGCGAAACAGCUGAUCAUGAUGGGAUGUACAGGGAGGGAGGGAGAGGCACUGAUCUGUGGGGUCGCCAGUGGACAAGAGGUGCUGGGGGAUGAAGGAGUGGCUGAUGGGGGGCUGCCGAUGGGUGCUCAGCACCCACCAUUUUUUCCCUGUGGGUGCUCCAGCCCCAGAGCACCCACAGAGUAGGUGCCUAUGCACUAUUCAGUGCUCUCCACCAGGGCCCUUCAAGCACUCUUGGAGGUGUUCUGUUGCCCCCUGGCUGGCCACUGCAUGCCACCUCUCCACCCUGUAGGAUGUGAGUGGCAGACCUGGGAAGCUGGAGCAGAGAUCCUCAGCUGGUGUGAAUUGUCAUAUCUCCAUCCCUCCAGCAGAGAGUGUACCCAGGGAUGUUUAUUAUAAUGAUUUGCAUUGCAGUAAUGGCUAGAAACCUCAGUUAGGGACCCAACCCUAUUGUGCGAGGCACUGUAAACACAUGUAAUGAAAAGAUGGCUCUAACAGGUUGGCUUGCCCCAGGGAUGUGGAGCCUCGGGCUAAGCCAACCGUGAUUACAGGAUAAGUCCCACCUGAGUCAGGAAAAUUCCUUCUGAAGGGGAGCAGGUGGCUGCAGUAAGGUGGGACUGAACUGACAGACAGACGGAUGAAACUUCAGGUAAUAAGAAAGGCUCCUACAGGGAAGAGCUUGAUAUGAGAGGGUACUUUGGAGGCCAGAGCCAAAAAACGGAGACUCCAGCCAAGCAGGGCCUGGGAGUUGCCUGCCAAAGCAGGAAAACUCUCAGGCAAGAAGGCCUGGGGGUAGGGUGAAUUCCAGCAGGCUCCAACAGAAAAACCUGGGAGGAGGGAUUUCCCUACAGGCAGCCCAAGGAGGAAAAGUCUGUGAGUGACCAACAAGAGGAUAAAACUGAUGGUCUGUGUUUUGAGACUCUGCAUUUUGUUUUGGAGCUUUAUUUCUGUCACUGCACUUGGACCCCUGAGAAGGGGUGGCGAAUGGAUGAGAAAAGUCAGUGUAAGAGAAGUGACAUGACAAUGACUUGUACUAGGUGUACAAUAGGGUUUGGGGUUUAUCCGAAGAUGCGGAGCGAGUGAAGGACCCGCCGCCGCCGCAGACUCGGAGCGCCGCCCAAACAAUCUCAAACCAAGAUCUAUUGACACAGUGCAGCUAAGAGGAUCUGAGCGCCAUCAUUACCAGGAGACGUUGGAGAUGGAUUGGUCAGGUGCUUCAGAUGGAAACUGAUUCCAUCACCAGAGUUGCAAUAAUAUGGACAGCUGAAGGCAAGCGAAAAUGAGGCUGCCUGAAAACAACAUGGCGAAGAGCUGUGGAAGACAAGCUGAAAAACCUGGGGCACAGCUGGGAAACCAUUGAAAGACUUGCCAGAAACAGACAGGAGUGGAGGAGCUUCAUCACUGCCCUAAACGCCGGAGUCGUAAUAGGGACAUGAUGAUGAUGAGAUGGAGAAUCCACCACGACUGUUGGUGAACAGCCGAGGCUGGGUCCAUCAUAUCUUUGAUCUGGCUUGUCCUUUAAGGCUGAUCUGUGAGCACAGGAUGCUCUCCAUUUACUGAACAGGUUAUAGCACUAUUCAAACGAAUGCAGCCUAAUGGCUUUUUCACUGGGGUCCCUAUACCUCUUGCCGUGCCAUGUAUUUAUCAGGACGCCAGUGUUGCUCUUAACAGGAACAUGAUGAAUUCGAGAUGACUCACGCUUGGAAUGAGUGGAAACAACGACAUUAAGCCACAAUCCUCGGCCCAGGAUGGCUGCGUGUGUGAAGGACGUCAGUGCCAGUGGGUUCAACACAGUGCCCCCUGUAGGAAGACCACAAUACCCACUCCCCUCCAACCUGAGGUUGCGCAAACUUUGCAGCACGAAGGGAGGUGCUGGGAACUUGUGAACAGCUUGUCAGCCUUGGAUUAACUUCUAAGUACAAUUGCAUUCGAGAUUGGCCAGCGAUCCAAAUUAGGCAACCUGUGUUGCAUUGUCACCUGCAUUGGUAAAGAUUUCAACUGAUGCAAACCACCCAGCUGAUCAUAGUUAGUAGUUCUUGGUGCUACUGCGAACCGGCAUAACCCCAUUGGCUUCAAUGGAGCUACAGCCGUUGACACCAGCUGAGGAAGAAGCCUGUCGUUUUAUUCUUGCAUAUGCAGGCAAGUUCUGCUUUCUCCAGCCCGGAAAACCUGAG